rnacentral:tRNA from 1 species
GCGGUGGCCUAAUGGUUAGCGCGUUGGACUCUGGAUCGAGUGGUCCGGGUUCAAGUGCCGGUCGGGGUCA